UAACCCCAGUAGUGAAAAGAAAAGCUCACAGCUCAGUAUUUUCUCUAGCAAAUGAGAGAAAAUAAUUAUUUCAUUCCUAUUUCAUUAGCCAUUUGUGAUUUUAAUUCAACAGCACUUUGGAAAAAAUAGUCUUCUGAAGGCUGGUCCUGGAUACACUUUGAGGUUUAACACUGAAAGAAGUCUUGGUGAUGGCAGAUACAGAUUCAGAGGUAGUUCUCCGAUGCUGUAUGAAACAUCUGACGGUUUCAUGAUCCUUUUGUUGGUUUAAGGCAAGAAGAACAUGAAGAUGUUGGUUGCAAUGAACUGAAUGUUUGUAUACCCCCAGAAUUCACCCUAAUCCCAGGUGAUGGUAUCUGGAGGUGAAGCCUUGGGGAGGGAAUUAAGUCGUGAAGAUGGAGUCCUCAUAAACGAGAUUAGUUCCCUUACGAAACAGAACCUAGGGAGCUCUCUUCACUCUUUCCACCAUGUGAGAACACAACGAGAAGUCAUCAGUCUGAGGUCGAGAAGAGAGCACUCACCAGAACCUGACCAUGCUGGACCAUGAUACUGAACUUUCACCUCCAGAACUGUGAGAAGUAAAUUUCUGCUGUUUGUAAACCACUCAGUCUAUAAUACUUUACUAUAGCAGCCUGAACUCAAGACAGUCAUCCGUAAAAAUAGUAUUAAGUGAGUGCUAGGGGUAUGGUCAAAGUAUAAAACAAAAUCAAGAAUAAGAUUUUAGAAACAAUACACUGUGGAUAUCAAUUUUAUGUUUAGUCUUUAUUAAUAUUGAAAUAGUAACUUAUGCAGUAGAAAAACUUUGUUAUAAAUAGAUCAGAGGACUGAAUUGAGAAUCCCUGCCACAAUGUCAUGUACAAAAGCACUUUUGUUUGUUCUAUAUAAAAGAAGUGUAAGGCAAGCCAUACUAGAGCAAAAAGUCAACUCCCAUAUGUGAAGUGUGAUCCUUAAUAAAUAUCAUGUCAUGAACUGUCAUAUUUUAAGUCUACUUCUAAAUAUAACUUCCUGUUACUCUCUGAGUUCAGUGACUCUUGAUCUUGUCAAAAAUGGAGCUGCCUAACAUUUUCUGAUUUUUUGUGACCCUUUCUCUCUCUUUUCAUCUAUAUCGAAAAUUUUAUGUAUAUUUCACUCUAUUUCAUCUAUAUUUGAGUGGACUAUACAUAAAAUUUUAGCAAAAUAAAAUUUUUGGUGAGUUUAAUUUCUAGUUGGCAUGUAUUUUUAA